GCAAUGUACUGUCAGAUUACCGAGUGUAGUACAAAUGUUUGUGCAGUGUAGUACCUGUACACUAACUCACAGUCGAUAGUGGGUCCACCAAGUGCAUGUUUCAAAAGGCUUGAUUUACAUGAAUACACACGCCUUUAACUGCAGCUGUUACUGUCUAUUGCAGUGACCUGGCAAACUUGAUUUACAAGCGUAGUUUGGGCACGGGACUAAACUCCACCGCCAUCGAUAACAUUCAGAAUAGGAAUGAAUUCUUUGGUCGUGUGUACACAUUGUGGAGAGAAACUUGAAAGGACUGAAAAGGACAUCCAUUCAGCUUGUAAACUGCACAUUGGCAGAUGCAAUGAAGCUGUUGAGUCAUUCAGAGGUACAAUGGCUACCAGCCCGAACAUCCAGUUCAUGGGAAUUCAUGUUCACUAUCUGUAUGGCAUCGACAAGAAAUUAAGUGACAAAGAGAAAAUUGAGAAACGGGAGAAACGGAAUUUGAAACUAACAGAACUCACAAAAUAUGUCUCAGCUCUAAGAAAUUCUAAUGGUGGUUACUUACUUGUUCAAAUUGUAGGUUUAAUCCCAAAUGAAAAUUAUGUUGGUGCUUUCGACGAGUUUGCAGAUGAUACCCUGUACAGAAUGAUAGAAGACGGGAGAAUGUUUGAAAGCGUGUAUAAAAAAGAAAGGCUAAGCGAAGCCACUGGAUGCGUUAAGUUCCAUGAUUUCAUCAGUAUUUAUGUCGUAAAAGGCACAGAAUUUUCAACAGCGGAUUUCAACACCAAAAUAUGUCUAGACUGGGGAAUUGUAAACCCUUUACCAACCACGGUGAAACGGUUUGUUGUCGAACGAAACGGUUCCAGUCACAUUC